GACAGAGGGUGCAAACGUUGUUCGGAAUUACUGGGCGUAAAGGGUGCGUAGGCGGCGCGGUAAGUCGGGUGUGAAAUCUCGGAGCUUAACUCCGAAACUGCAUUCGAUACUGCCGUGCUUGAGGACUGGAGAGGAGACUGGAAUUUACGGUGUAGCGGUGAAAUGCGUAGAUAUCGAGAGGAACACCUGCGGCGAAGGCGG
rnacentral:rRNA from 1 species